UACACACCGCCCGUCACACCAUGGGAGUCGGUAACGCCCGAAGUCAGUGACCCAACCGUAAGGAGGGAGCUGCCGAAGGCGGGACUGGUAACUGGGGUGAAGUCGUAACAAGGUAGC
rnacentral:rRNA from 1 species